UGCGGAGCCAAAGAUGUCCGACUCGGGGUCGGAUUGCUGGAUCAAGGGGCUGCCGUAGUCUUCCUGGGCGCGCGUGCCGGUCACGUGGGGCAUGGUGGCUAAGUUUCCCCGUAACAGUAGCCCCCCACUUCCGAGCCUGAAACCAGAAGGGGAACGGGUGAAGGGAGUGAUGCUUCGAGAUUGCCGCCAUCCCUCGGAGAGGCGCGCGCGUUUCGAGCUCUCCGCCUUCUUUAUGGCGUAUGGCGGUUGUUGCUGACCUGGCAGUCUGAGGAUUUCGGCGGACAUCCUUCCUUAAUGGCGUCGAUUCGCCUUUGGGGCGCGAGCGACCCUUCGGCAGCCAGGCGUCCUCUGGCGUCACCGAGGCGUCACCCACCUUUCCGCCUAUUUAACCGGGGGCCCUUCUCCGUCCGCCUUUCUCUUUACAGACAUCUUCGAGUUUCUCCUUUGCGC
rnacentral:lncRNA from 1 species